rnacentral:rRNA from 1 species
AGAGUUUGAUCCUGGCUCAGGAUGAACGCUAGCGGCAGGCUUAAUACAUGCAAGUCGAGGGGCAGCAUGGUGUAGCAAUACACUGAUGGCGACCGGCAAACGGGUGCGGAACACGUACGCAACUUACCCAAAACUGGGGAAUAGCCCACCGAAAGGUGGAUUAAUACCUCGUAACAUAAUUGAAUGGCAUCAUUUGAUUAUUAUAGCUCCGGCGGUUUUGGAUGGGCGUGCGACUGAUUAGGUAGUUGGCGGGGUAACGGCCCACCAAGCCUACGAUCAGUAACCGGUGUGAGAGCACGACCAGUCACACGGGCACUGAGACACGGGCCCGACUCCUACGGGAGGCAGCAGUAAGGAAUAUUGGUCAAUGGACGCAAGUCUGAACCAGCCAUGCCGCGUGAAGGAUGAAGGUCCUCUGGAUUGUAAACUUCUUUUAUAUGGGAAGAAAUCCUUGAAUUCUUUCGAGGUUGACGGUACCAUAGGAAUAAGCACCGGCUAACUCCGUGCCAGCAGCCGCGGUAAUACGGAGGGUGCAAGCGUUAUCCGGAUUCACUGGGUUUAAAGGGUGCGUAGGAGGGCAGGUAAGUCAGUGGUGAAAUCUCCAAGCUUAACUUGGAAACUGCCGUUGAUACUAUCUGUCUUGAAUACCGUGGAGAUGAGCGGAAUAUGUCAUGUAGCGGUGAAAUGCUUAGAUAUGACAUAGAACACCAAUUGCGAAGGCAGCUCGUUACACGAAUAUUGACUCUGAGGCACGAAAGCGUGGGGAUCAAACAGGAUUAGAUACCCUGGUAGUCCACGCCCUAAACGAUGGAUACUCGACAUACGCGAUACACAGUGUGUGUCUGAGCGAAAGCAUUAAGUAUCCCACCUGGGAAGUACGACCGCAAGGUUGAAACUCAAAGGAAUUGACGG